rnacentral:rRNA from 1 species
GACGAACGCUGGCGGCGUGCUUAACACAUGCAAGUCGAACGCUGAAGCUCAGCUUUUGUUGGGUGGAUGAGUGGCGAACGGGUGAGUAACACGUGAGUAACCUGCCCCUUCUUUGGGAUAACGCCCGGAAACGGGUGCUAAUACUGGAUAUUCACUGGUCUUCGCAUGGGGGUUGGUGGAAAGGGUUUUUCUGGUGGGGGAUGGGCUCGCGGCCUAUCAGCUUGUUGGUGGGGUGAUGGCCUACCAAGGCUUUGACGGGUAGCCGGCCUGAGAGGGUGACCGGUCACAUUGGGACUGAGAUACGGCCCAGACUACUACGGGAGGCAGCAGUGGGGAAUAUUGCACAAUGGGCGCAAGCCUGAUGCAGCGACGCCGCGUGAGGGAUGGAGGCCUUCGGGUUGUGAACCUCUUUCGCUCAUGGUCAAGCCGCAACAAUGGUUGUGGUGAGGGUAGUGGGUAAAGAAGCGCCGGCUAACUACGUG